rnacentral:piRNA from 1 species
UGCAUGCUGGGGAUUGAGCAUAGGAC